GUAGGGAAUAUUGGGCAAUGGAGGCAACUCUGACCCAGCCAUGCCGCGUGCAGGAUGACGGCCCUCUGGGUUGUAAACUGCUUUUAUACGGGAAGAAAAAAUACUACGUGUAGUAUACUGACGGUACCGUAAGAAUAAGGAUCGGCUAACUCCGUGCCAGCAGCCGCGGUAAUACGGAGGAUCCAAGCGUUGUCCGGAUUUAUUGGGUUGAAAGGGUGCGUAGGCGGAUCUUUAAGUCAGUGGUGAAAGCCUGCAGCUUAACUGUAGAAUUGCCAUUGAAACUGAAGAUCUUGAAUGUGGUUAAAGUAGGCGGAAUGUAUCAUGUAGCGGUGAAAUGCUUAGAUAUGAUACAGAACACCGAUAGCGAAGGCAGCUUGCUGAACCAUUAUUGACGCUGAGGCACGAAAGCGUGGGGAGCGAACAGGAUUAGAAACCCGUGUAGUCC
rnacentral:rRNA from 1 species